AGUCACUGACAUUAGAUACCCCUGUAGUCCAGGGUGUAAACGCUGCAGACUUGGUGUUGGAGGCCCUUUGGGGGCAUUCAGUGCCGGAGAGAAGUUGUUAAGUCUGCUACUUGGGGAGUACGUCCGCAAGGAUGAAACUUAAAGGAAUUGGCGGGGGAGCACCGCAACGGGAGGAGCGUGCGGUUUAAUUGGAUUCAACACCGUAAAACUCACCAGGGAAGACUGUUACAUGAAGGCCGAGAUGAAGACUCUGCUAGAUUUUCAG
rnacentral:rRNA from 1 species